rnacentral:rRNA from 1 species
AUACGUAGAGAGCGAGCGUUGUCCGGAAUUACUGGGUGUAAAGGGAGCGUAGGCGGGAGUGCAAGUCAGAUGUGAAAUGCAUGGGCUUAACCCAUGAGCUGCAUUUGAAACUGCAUUUCUUGAGUGAAGUAGAGGUAAGCGGAAUUCCUGGUGUAGCGGUGAAAUGCGUAGAUAUCAGGAGGAACACCGGUGGCGAAGGCGGCUUACUGGGCUUUUACUGACGCUGAGGCUCGAAAGCGUGGGGAGCAAACAGGAUUAGAUACCCUGGUAGUCCACGCUGUAAACGAUGAUUACUAGGUGUGGGGGGACUGACCCCUUCCGUGCCGCAGUUAACACAAUAAGUAAUCCACCUGGGGAGUACGGCCGCAAGGUUGAAACUCAAAUGAAUUGACGGGG